rnacentral:lncRNA from 9 species
ACUCGCCCAGCUGGCUGCCCGGCCCGCGGCGGCUCCACAAACAGCACCUCCAGGGCAGGGCGGGGGCGGGGGCCGGCUGGACCAGCCCGGAGGCACUGAAAGGUGGCGUGACGGCGAGUUCCCUUCCCCUGCCGGUGGUUUACAUAAGAGGGAGGCGAUGGCGAGGGGGCAACGCGAGGGGCUGGUGCUGCCGCCCACCGCCGGGCGCCUUGGCUGGGGCUGCUCUUGACAGAAGGGAUGCGCGCUGUCAGCGCGGGGGGCCUGGCGCGCGUGCAAGAGUCUGUGUGUGCACUGAGAACACAGAAAAAAGAAGCGUGGCUGCACUCGGCUGGCCGGCUCCGUCAGUGCCAGGUCCCUUCAAGCUGGCGCCGCAGGGACCCGGCGGAGGGAGAGGUGAGGGCGCCGCAGGGGCGGAGAUGGAUGCUUGCUGCGGACGACCACGGGGCCAAGGCUCACAAACAAAACCCACGGCAAACUGCCGGCAGCCCAGCCCAGGAAGGUGGCAGCCACUUGGCAGAGGAGGCACGGAGGACCCGGCUGGGAGCAGACGGAUGGGAGCGGUGGCCAGCAUGUCACAGCAGGAAGGAUGACUUCUCCAGGCCCUGCCCUCCUGCCAAGAACAGGAUAUCUGGACAGUGAGGACCUUGGAGUGUUGGGGGCACUCCCUGGGGUUUCCAUUUUGGCCCCCAGAUGCUCUGGGGAUGGAGGGUGCAGAAGAUCCCAGCUGGAGCCAUCCCUCCACUGCCCGUCCUGCUGAUGGCCCCGAGCAAGUCAGUGUCACGGACUCCUAGGCCCCAGAAAGACAGCCUCAUGGCGCUCUCAGCCUGGGCUUCAGUCCCCACCUGGCAAGCGGCUGUGGCCCUGCCUGCACAUGUGGCUUUAGUGGAAGUGGGUGCGUCGGAGUCCUGAGAAAGCCCAUCCCAGCAGGCCAGUUCCUGGGUGGGGCCCUCAGACGCAGACGGCGUCCUUGCCUCCUCCACUCUGUGGAGCUGGCCGACGCCUGCCACCUGUCCACAGUGCCCUGCCCCAGGGCCACACUCGCCCAGGAGUCCCGCUGAGGCUUCUCCUCUCUGGGCCAUAGGCUAGUCCUCUCUGAAGAGAAGGCCCUGGACCAGGGCCACAACCGGCACAAUCCCUGGGCCUUAGUAUAAAUUCACAGCCCCAAGACCCAGCCGCCAGGGUGGGCCCAUGCAUCUGCAUUUCACAAACACCUGGUGGCUCUGAGUGCACCCAGGGUGAGAGUCCCACACCCAGAGGAGUGAACACACUCCUCACGCUUUGGGUGGUGGGCCUGACGGAGGAAGCAGGGCUCUCCAGGCAUCCCCACCCCGGGAGGAGGGCAGUCCUGGGCUCCUGUGGUGUUG